CACACACACACACACACAAAUAUAUAUAUAUAUUAUGUAUUUUUAUUUUUAAAGGGUAAUUUCCUGUUACUGCCCAUUCAUUUGGAGUCCAUAUGUUUGAUUGGUUUUAUGUGGGUGAUUAGGAGGGUGCUCUAAUUGAGGUUUGAAUUGUAACACAUUGAAUCCAUUAUUUGAACGCUAUAAGAACAUUGUUAUGUGAGCUGUUAUGAUCACACAUUGCUAAGAAAUAACCUUGGUGAGAGGCUAAUAAGUUGCUAGGCACCCUCCCCUUGCAAGCUAGUUUUCAAAGUUGAAUUCUAUCUAAGUGGCCUAUUUUCACGUGGUGUAACCUUAAUGACUUGUGGUGCUCAACAGUUCAUAUCAAUUGAUAUUAGAGCCAGUCCCAUCUUGCAAGAUCUGACACUCAGAAUGGUAGCUCACAGUGUGGUGGCCUAGGUCCAUUGCGUAACGAUAGAUGAUCUGAUGUGUAGGGUGCUGGCCGUGACCAACGAGAAUAUUGGUUCUCCAAGCGUGGGUAUUGUUUCGAUCCCACAUUGCUAAGAAAUAAUCUUAAUAAGAGGUUAAUAAGUCUUUAGGCACUCUCUCGUUGCAAGCUUGUUUUCAAGGGUGAGUUCUACAUAGACAGUCUAUCCUCACAUGGUGCAAUCUUAGUGACUCGUGGUACUUAACAGUUCAUAUUAUAAGCUCAAAGUGAUACAGGUGUUAUUUUAGGGAUGAUGAUUGUUCUUGAUUUUUCACCAAAUUAAGUUGUGCAUAGCAAACGAUGUUGGUAUGUAUUGAAUUUGAGGGAUAUUUUUCUGAAAAUAAUUGAUAUCAUUCACCUUUUUGGUUUUGUCUCGGUGUCAUAAACUGCUAACUAAGUGUUUGGCUUAUGCUGAGGUAGAAUGGGAGAAAAUAUCAAUGAUAAAAUUUGCUGCUGAUUUUUCAUUUCUCACUGUAACAUAAUGUUGAGUAGGUUUGGCUGCUAAUUCUCUGAGAAUUUAUGAUUCUUUGGCGUAUAGCAUAAUUUGGUUACUAAAAGCAUGCAAUUAAAUUUUGAGCACUCUUGUAGCUAACCAUACAAUGAUGAAUGAUCUGAUGGCCUCCUUGUAAAUUUGUAAUUGUACAAUCUGAAUGGUAAAAUAAAUGUCUACAUCUAUAUUUUGUUACACAGGAUAUUUUAAAUUUUCUGUGAAAUCAUGGAAGAAUCUUUCAAUAGCUGAAACCUUAUGCAGACUUGUGAAUGUGUCCUGGCUGUUCAGUCUUUUUCCUCCUGUUUUGCCUAGGUCCUGGUUGAAUAAAUAUUGUAAUUAUACUUGCUUGCAAAUUAUUUUUCCAGCUAUUAGUAGUGAAUAUGCAGUUACGCUACAUCAGCUCAAUACUUAGUUAUUAUUGCUAGUUAUUUGUAUGGCCAGCUUAAUGAGUCAACAGUUAUUAGCAGUUUUACUUGUGGAUAUUUUUUCUUUCAUGUCAAUAGAUUGGCCAUGCAUGAAGAGUCAACAUCUAGGCGCAAGGUGGAUGAUGAAGUUCAUGAA
rnacentral:misc_RNA from 1 species